AGAUUGAACGCUGGCGGCAUGCCUUACACAUGCAAGUCGAGCGGCAGCGCGGGGGCAACCCUGGCGGCGAGCGGCGAACGGGUGAGUAAAGCAUCGGAACGUGUCCAUUAGUGGGGGAUAGGCCGGCGAAAGCCGGGUUAAUACCGCAUACGCCCUGAGGGGGAAAGUGGGGAGUCGCAAGACCUCACGCUAUUGGAGCGGCCGAUGUCGGAUUAGCUAGUUGGUGAGGUAAAGGCUUACCAAGGCGACGAUCCGUAGCUGGUUUGAGAGAACGACCAGCCACACUGGGACUGAGACACGGCCCAGACUCCUACGGGAGGCAGCAGUGGGGAAUUUUGGACAAUGGGCGCAAGCCUGAUCCAGCCAUGCCGCGUGAGUGAUGAAGGCCCUAGGGUUGUAAAGCUCUUUUGUGCGGGAAGAUAAUGACGGUACCGCAAGAAUAAGCCCCGGCUAACUUCGUGCCAGCAGCCGCGGU
rnacentral:rRNA from 1 species